AUUGAACGCUGGCGGCAGGCCUAACACAUGCAAGUCGAACGAGUGGCGGACUGGUGAGUAAUGUCGGGGAACCUGCCUGAUGUAGGGGGAUAACUACUGGAAACGGUAGCUAAUACUGCUUACCAUCCGAUGUGCCCACAUGGGAUUAGCUUGUUGGUGAGCUAACGGCUAACCAAGGCGACGAUCCCUAGCCGGUCUGAGAGGGUGACCUGCCACACUGGGACUGAGACACGGCCCAGACUCCUACGGGAGGCAGCAGUAGGGAAUCUUGCGCAAUGGACGAAAGCCUGAUGGAGCAAUGCCGCGUGAAUGAAGAAGGUCUUCGGAUUGUAAAAUUCUUUCGGUAGAGAAGCGUUAUCGAACGAAAAAGCAACGGCUAACUACGUGCCAGCAGCCGCGGUAAUUC
rnacentral:rRNA from 1 species